UGACUUUUGUUCAAAAAAGUGAAAUAAUACUGUUCAUAAUAUUUUUCCCCUCAGGACCAGAUGGCUGUGUGACAUGUUUUCAGUUCUGUGCAAGGAACCACCAUCACACCAUGGAAGACGUCAAUGUCAACAGCAGAAGGAAAAUUACUCUGCAGGCCCUUCCCAUCUUCCUGUGGGAAGAUGGAUUUUUUUAAGACCUGGAAUCAACAACAAAUGGCGGCCCUCUGGCGGAAAAUGUCAGAGAAACCUUUGUAGGCUCCAAUUGAGGCCCUUUGGGGAAUUGAAUGUAAUGGUAGCAUUUAACACUCUUCAUCUCCUCUCUCCACUUCCUUUGUGGCCAAUCCCCCUGAUGACGGACUAAAAAUACUGUUUUCCUCUGACUCUGUCCUCUCACCUCCCUCACCUCCCAAAGAUUCACUGUCAUCCGUGCACAGCAAAGCAUUCUGGGAAAAAAAUCUGCAGAGGCAAAGAGAGUUCUGUGACAUAUGAAAGUACCUAUAGUGGGUUCAUGAUGUGUAAAUAUAUUUUGGAAGUA